rnacentral:rRNA from 1 species
UACGAAGGGGGCUAGCGUUGCUCGGAAUCACUGGGCGUAAAGGGUGCGUAGGCGGGUCUUUAAGUCAGGGGUGAAAUCCUGGAGCUCAACUCCAGAACUGCCUUUGAUACUGGCGGUCUCGAGUCCGGGAGAGGUGAGUGGAACUGCGAGUGUAGAGGUGAAAUUCGUAGAUAUUCGCAAGAACACCAGUGGCGAAGGCGGCUCACUGGCCCGGUACUGACGCUGAGGUGCGAAAGCGUGGGGAGCAAACAGG